rnacentral:rRNA from 1 species
AUGAUAAAGGAGGAGCGUGAGGAGUUUUCCCGUAAGAUGGCGAAGAUGCGUCUUGAGAUUGAAGAAAAGUAUAAGCGGGACUGUGAGUACAUGGAAAAAAGUUUGUCCUUGGCUACAAGGAAAUGCAUCAAAUGUUGCAGAAGGACCGGAAGCUUGUGGACAGUAUUAUACAGACAGAGCGAGUCAGGAUGGAUGCGUAUGUGUUGCAGGCACGUGCGGAUAUGGAUAGUAAGCUGCUACAGGAGCGGUCGGACAUGGAUUAUAAGGCCAUGCUGGAGAAGGUCCGCUUGGAAGGACAUAUGUUAG